UUGGACUUGAAGUAGAUGGACACAGUUUGCUUUAAAGGAGGAGAUUUCUGUUUCAGCCUGUUUGUGUUUUCUAAGGUCCAAGAUCCACACCUGAUUUUAGCCCAAACCGGAGGCUGAUUUUAGCGCUUUGGCCUCUUAAACUCAUAUCAAACUCCCUGUUCAGUGUCAGACAGGUGAGACACAGUCAGUUGAGCAGAGUGGGGCGAGAAACAGCUACAGAAACAGGUAAGCCUCUCUGGAUCGAGGAUUUAGGAGUUCAGGUACCCAAAGUACUUGGUUAAGUUUAGGAAGAUUGGAGUUGACUUUUGGAUUAACUAUAAGACUCUGACAGCUGUGCCACACUGUCCCAGGCUGUCCAAGGCCAUCCCAGACUGGCCCAGGCUGCCCAAGACUGUCCCAGGCUAUCCCAGGCUGUCCGAGAAUAUCCCACGCUGUCCUAGACUGUCCCAGGCUAUCCCAGGCUGUCCCAGAAUAUCCCAUGCUGUCCUAGAGUGUCCCAGAAUAUCCCAUGCUGUCCUAGACUGUCCCAGGCUAUACCAGGCCAUCACAGACUACCCCAGACUGUCCCAGGCUAUCCCAGGCUGACCCACACUGUCCCAGACUCUUGCAGACCUUCUCACACUAGUGGUUUGUCGGUCUUGAACGAACGGAUCAAAAGAACUAGUUCUUUUUGAUGAACGAAAUGAACUAGUUCUCCCCCCCUAAAUGACCCGUUCAAUCCGUUCAGUUCUUUUGAUUGGCUGAAGAGGGACUGCUUGCCUGUCUUAUCCUAUCGUCGCGCCUCGUUCUGUGUGUGGGUGGGGCUUAGAGAAGCAGCAGCAGUACUACUGAGCUGACUGAAAGACCGGGAUGACCGAGUUGACUGAAAGAACGGGUCAAAUGAACGAAAGACCUAGUUGACUGAAAGAACGGGUCAAAUGAACGAAAGACCGAGUUGAACGAAAGACCCAGACCGAUGAACGAGUUGAACGAAAGACCGAGUGAACGAAAGAUCCAGACGGAUGAACGAGUUGAACGAAAGACCGAGUGAACGAAAGACCGAGUUGAACGAAAGACCCAGACCGAUGAACGAGUUGAACGAAAGACCGAGUGAACGAAAGAUCCAGACGGAUGAACGAGUUGAACGAAAGACCGAGUGAAUGAAAGAUCCAGACGGAUGAACGAGUUGAACGAAAGACCGAGUGAACGAAAGACCCAGACGGAUGAACGAGUUGAACGAGAGACCGAGUGAACGAAAGAUCCAGACAGUGAACGAGUUGACUGAAAGACCGAGUGAACGAAAGAUCCAGACAGAUGAACGAGUUGACUGAAAGACCGAGUUGAGUGGCCGCCGCACGAGGCCCGACAGCCGAGCCGGAGCGAGCGGGACAGUCACACACACGCAAAGGCACACAGCUGCUGCUGCAGCCAGAGGCAGAGAGACAUACGCAUUUGCACUGUCUGUUGACAUUUUACUUUUUAUUAUUGUUUUUAAUGCACCUCAAAAUAAUAAAAACCAUUAAAAACCUUAUAUAUUUUGUUACUCCUACUAUAAUUUUGUAUUACAAGUAGUGCAGUGAGAUCGCAGCGUUGGACCAAGUGGACCGGGGGUGGGAAGUGGAGAGUGCAGCGGUCACAGCGUCGGACCGCGGGCGGGGGGGGGGGGGACGAGCGGACUGACAAAUGACCGAAAAGAACGAAAUGAACGGGUCUUUUUACUGAACGACCCGGAAUGAUCCGGUUCACUGAAAUGACCGGUUUUGCCCACCACUGUCUCACACUGAGAGACACAGUGGCAGACCUUUAUUUAGUGAUGAGUAUUAAACUUUGUGUUCUUGUGUUUAUAAGUUCUGGGUCAGUAGCAUCACUGGGUAGCAGCUCUUUGUUACUGUCAGUACCUGAAAAGUCUAUCCUGUAAAAGGAUUGAUGGAAAUCUUUCCCUUCAUUUCUCAGUGAACAAUAAAACAACAUGAACGUCUUAAGACAAUCGACCCGCCUCACUCUGAUGGAGAUUCAAGGACAGCCAAUGUGUUCAUAUAAAGCCUGAACAUUCACGCAGAUAUCUCAGCUGAACAAAAGCAUCCUUCCUUUACCAUCUCCUUUUCUCUCCUCCUCCUCCUCCUCCUCUCUCUCUCUCUGUCUCUGCGUCCAGAUGGCGAGGCGUCUUGCAGUCAUAAUUUGGUGGUAAUCCCUGCCGCACAUGCUGCCCUCACUCCGCUAAACACUCGUCCUUUUGUCUUCAGGACUUCCUCCAUUCAAACCACACUGUCCUGGUUUUAACAGUGAGCCCACAGCCUGCAGAGCUGGACAAGGUCCAUACUGUACCAUGGGUCUACUGACAUCUAUCAAAGAGUGUUAAAAGGGAGAAGGAUGCUUUAAAGUCUGAGACGUAACACUUCAGACACUUACUGCUAUUUAUUUAUGAAUUAUAUUUAAAUAUUUACUCCAAGAAUUAACCUGAGGUCAAACUUAAUAAAAUCUGUAAAAACUGAGCAUAAAAAUCCAAGAAUAAAGCUUAGGAUCUAGACUUCUUUGUCCGACAGAUUGAAAUAAAAACAUCUGAUCCAAAACAGUGUAAAAGUGAGAACAGUUAGAAUUGAUCUAAUAUCUGAUCUUCUCAUUUGUAGGAUUUUAGCUUUCACAGAAAUAAAGGUCCUGUGUCUGUGUUUGUGCUUGUUUUAAGUCAUUGCUCAGAAUAUUUGUGGAACUUUGAUGGUUGUUAUUUCAAAUAAUUUUUGCCAGGAUUACAAAAACUAAGGGGCAAUGCUGCAAGAUCCCAUAACUCUUCAACAAAUUCACAUUUUUAAGGUAGUCUAAAACAGAAUAUCACACAGCUUUUCUCAAACAUGUGAGGGUUUGAGUCCCCUGGUCUCAGGCUUGGUUUUGGGGAUUUGAUUCCUCCACAGUCCAAGUCUCUGAAUUUCCACAAGUCCGUUCAUUACAUACAGUAUGUCACUGGGGAUCUUCGUG
rnacentral:lncRNA from 1 species